rnacentral:misc_RNA from 1 species
GAAAAACCCCAAGACCACUCAAAAUGGCAAAGGGCCACCAAAUCAAGAACCUCCAAACAACAAAAUCCAUAUCCAGACUUCACCCCCUUCAAGAAAUAGAGGUAGAAGGAGAGGAAGAGGAGGCAAAAAGUCAGAUCAAGGUGAGACCUUUAUGAGGCCUAGUUCAAGGCCUUGUACAGCAGCUAGCAAGCCAGUUAUAGCAGCUUCUGUUGAAGCAAC